rnacentral:tRNA from 1 species
GCUUUUGUGGUGUAAUGGUAGCACACUGAGCGCAUAUUCGAGAGGUCCAGGUUCGAGUCCUGGCAAGGGCA